rnacentral:rRNA from 1 species
GUGAGGAAUAUUGCGCAAUGGAGGCAACUCUGACGCAGCCAUGCCGCGUGCAGGAAGAAGGCGCUACGCGUUGUAAACUGCUUUUAACCGGGAAGAAACCCCAGGACGUGUCCUGGGUUGACGGUACCGGAGGAAUAAGCACCGGCUAACUUCGUGCCAGCAGCCGCGGUAAUACGAAGGGUGCAAGCGUUAUCCGGAUUCAUUGGGUUUAAAGGGUGCGUAGGCGGAGCGUUAAGUCAGUGGUGAAAUCCUGCAGCUUAACUGUAGACUUGCCAUUGAUACUGGCGCUCUUGAGUGCGCUUGAAGUGGGCGGAAUGUGUCGUGUAGCGGUGAAAUGCUUAGAUAUGGCACAGAACACCAAUUGCGAAGGCAGCUCACUAAGGCGAUACUGACGCUGAGGCACGAAAGCGUGGGGAUCGAACAGGAUUAGAUACCCCUGUAGUCC